UGCGUGAUAGAAUAAUGGGAAUUCACAUGAAUUUGGGUCUUGCAGAUCUCAGUUCGAUUCUGGGUCACGCAU
rnacentral:tRNA from 1 species